CCCUCAAUUUCAAAGUAUCAUAACACAACAGUGAAGAACAUAAAUGUGUAUGAUUUCAAUAUCAAAUAAUCGAUUUAGAAUAAUUUCUCCAUAUAAUUCUGCAAUGCUUCAUACAGGUAUAAGGGUGAGAUUCAAUAAUAUUCCCCUAAAAAAAAUCACAUCCAGUAUUAUUUCGAUGCCAAUAAUAUUCCCCUAAAAAAAUCAGAUCCAAUAUUAUUUCGAUGCCAAUAAUAUUCCCCUAAAAAAAUCAGAUCCAAUAUUAUUUCGAUGAAUAAGAAAAAUCUGAUUCAAUUAACAUCAUACUCCUAAAUCGGAUCCAAUUAAAUUAUUAUUUUUGGGAUAAUGUAAAAGGCACAUGAAGGAUUUCCAAACGUAUACAAUUUAAUUUAGCAAGGGAAAUUUGGAAUAUUAAUCCUUCUCAUGAAUUUAAUUAAUUAAUGGAAACGAGUGAUAGUCUCCAAAAAGUUGAGAAAGAGUGAAACUUACAUGAGUUUGUGUUUUAAUUUUUUGCGUCAAUGGAAGAAAGCAAAACAGAAGCAUGGUAGAGAAAUAAUGUAGGAGAUCAUAAUUUAGAGUUCACGUAAGAUGACUAAUAAUUAACUUUGGCCAUUAGAUCAAAACAAAAUUAAGGGUCAUGAUUUGGAGUAACUCUUUAGACUUACUCCUGGAGUCAAU
rnacentral:lncRNA from 1 species